rnacentral:rRNA from 1 species
CGUAGGUGGCAAGCGUUAUCCGGGAAUUAUUGGGCGUAAAGCGCGCGUAGGCGGUUUUUAAGUCUGAUGUGAAAGACCCACGGCUCAACCGUGGAGGGUCGAUUGGAAACUAGGAAAACUUAGAGUGCAGAAGAGGAAGUAGGAAUUCCAUGUGUAGCGGUGAAAUGCGCAGAGAUAUGGAGGAACACCAGUGGCGAAGGCGACUUUCUGGUCUGUAACUGACGCUGAUGUGCGAAAGUGUGGGAUCAAACAGGAUU